GGGACACGUGGUAUCCUGUCUGAAUAUGGGGGGACCAUCCUCCAAGGCUAAAUACUCCUGACUGACCGAUAGUGAACCAGUACCGUGAGGGAAAGGCGAAAAGAACCCCGGCGAGGGGAGUGAAAAAGAACCUGAAACCGUGUACGUACAAGCAGUGGGAGCACGCUUAGGCGUGUGACUGCGUACCUUUUGUAUAAUGGGUCAGCGACUUAUAUUCUGUAGCAAGGUUAACCGAAUAGGGGAGCCGAAGGGAAACCGAGUCUUAACUGGGCGUUAAGUUGCAGGGUAUAGACCCGAAACCCGGUGAUCUAGCCAUGGGCAGGUUGAAGGUUGGGUAACACUAACUGGAGGACCGAACCGACUAAUGUUGAAAAAUUAGCGGAUGACUUGUGGCUGGGGGUGAAAGGCCAAUCAAACCGGGAGAUAGCUGGUUCUCCCCGAAAGCUAUUUAGGUAGCGCCUCGUGAAUUCAUCUCCGGGGGUAGAGCACUGUUUCGGCAAGGGGGUCAUCCCGACUUACCAACCCGAUGCAAACUGCGAAUACCGGAGAAUGUUAUCACGGGAGACAC
rnacentral:rRNA from 1 species